ACCACUGGUGUUCGGGUUGUCAUGCCAAUGGCAUUGCCCGGUAGCUAAGUGCGGAAGAGAUAACCGCUGAAAGCAUCUAAGCGGGAAACUUGCCUCGAGAUGAGUCUUCCCUGUCACUUUAAGUGACCUAAAGGAACGUUUAAGACUAAGACGUUGAUAGGCUGGGUGUGUAAGCGUAGCGAUACGUUGAGCUAACCAGUACUAAUGAACCGUGAGGCUUAACCUG
rnacentral:rRNA from 1 species